rnacentral:rRNA from 1 species
GACGAACGCUGGCGGCGUGCUUAACACAUGCAAGUCGAACGGAAAGGCCCUGCUUUUGUGGGGUGCUCGAGUGGCGAACGGGUGAGUAACACGUGAGUAACCUGCCCUUGACUUUGGGAUAACUUCAGGAAACUGGGGCUAAUACCGGAUAGGAUCUCCUGCUGCAUGGUGGGGGUUGGAAAGUUUCGGCGGUUGGGGAUGGACUCGCGGCUUAUCAGCUUGAUGGUGGGGUAGUGGCUUACCAAGGCUUUGACGGGUAGCCGGCCUGAGAGGGUGACCGGCCACAAUGGGACUGAGAUACGGCCCAGACUCCUACGGGAGGCAGCAGUGGGGAAUAUUGCACAAUGGGCGGAAGCCUGAUGCAGCAACGCCGCGUGCGGGAUGACGGCCUUCGGGUUGUAAACCGCUUUCGCCUGUGACGAAGCGUGAGUGACGGUAAUGGGUAAAGAAGCACCGGCUAACUACGUG